GGGCUCAUAGUUUAGUUGGUAAAAACAUACCGCUCAUAACGGUACAAUCGUAGGUUCAAAUCCUACUGAGCCUA
rnacentral:tRNA from 1 species